CCUGUGAGGGAGGCUGAGGGACCGCGGGCCUGUGAGGGAGGCUGGGGGACCGCGGGCCUGAGAUUAGGGAAACACGUCCCUGAGUUCUCCCCGAGCCACCUGGCCAGCAGUAAGCUUUUGUUGACUCGGGCCUGAACACGCACAGAGACAGCAGUUUCUGAUCUGAGAAAGUGAGUUCACUUUGGUUUUGACCCUUGAGUUUUUGAGUAAGAGUUUCGAUCUGCUGGUUCACCCUCAAGUGCCUGCAGCAGCUGGAAACUUGAUGGAGGGCAGAGCCACAAUGUGGGCAUUCAGUCCAGCUUUCUCAUGUGAAUGACAGGAACCCAACCCCUCAGUCAUCAUCACCGUCCACCAGGGUACGUGUUAGCAGGAAGUUGGAGCCAGGAGCCAGAGCUGAGAUGCAAACCCAUGUAUUCCAGUGCAAUGCGUGGACAUCUUAAUGUAUGAGACUUCUUUCAAAGCAGAAAUGAAUGGAGCAGAAUAGAGAAUGGAUAAAGAUGAAGAUUAUUGUGUUUUGUACUAAUGCAUGCCAUCUCAUCUUGUGUGCUUAGGAUGCAGUGAUAAGCAAGCAACUCCUCUUAUGUAGCUUACCACUGAGAGAGAAAGAGAAUGUAACCUUUAAAAAGCAGAAAACAAAAUUUUAGUUUUAAUGGUAAAAACUGAGAAAAAGAAACACAUAUUACUGUCUGAGCAAGUAACAUGUGAACCCCAACCCACCACGGAGGGCAUGAUGGCCUUGGACCUGUGAGCAUCGGAUCCAGAGGACAGCACACAGCCAACUAAUAAGCCAGACCUCCACCUUUCUAGACUUCCCACCGUGUGUAAGGCCAAGACCACACGUGCUUCUCCUGAGCUGUUGCUAAUAACUGGACAUGGUGCCAGUCCGUUCAGGAAAGAAGGACUUCUCUAACAGGCAUUUCCAGCUUAAGGCUGCCACACAGGCCUGGCUGCAUUCUGUCACCACCCUGUUCUCCUGGCUUCUUCAGCCCUGCACGGCAGUCUGAGGCUUUCUCUGCCUACUUGGUUCUUGCCCUUUUUUCUGCAGGAAAGUGGGUCUCCACCAAUAAAUCUCAUACCUGACUUUGGCAUUCAUUAAAAAAUAAAAAGAGUAAAUAAAAGCAUGGCUAGGAUAUAAA